rnacentral:rRNA from 1 species
GUAAUAACGGGAGGGCUAGCGUUGCUCGGAAUCACUGGGCGUAAAGCGCACGUAGGCGGAUUGUUAAGUCAGGGGUGAAAUCCUGGAGCUCAACUCCAGAACUGCCUUUGAUACUGGCGAUCUCGAGUCCGGGAGAGGUGAGUGGAACUGCGAGUGUAGAGGUGAAAUUCGUAGAUAUUCGCAAGAACACCAGUGGCGAAGGCGGCUCACUGGCCCGGUACUGACGCUGAGGUGCGAAAGCGUGGGGAGCAAACAGG